AACGAACGCUGGCGGCGUGCCUAACACAUGCAAGUCAAACGGGUGUAGCAAUACAUCAGUGGCGCACGGGUGAGUAAUGCAUGGGAAUUUGCCGAGUGGAGAUGAAUAACUACGGGAAGCUGUAGCUAAUACAUCGUAAGCAGCGCAAGCUGGGAAAGGCGUGGGACCGCAAGGCCAGUCGCCUAUUUGAUAACGCCCAUCGUCCCAUUAGCUAGUUGGCGGGGUAACAGCCCACCAAGGCGAAGAUGGGUAGCUGGUCUGAGAGGACGAUCAGCCACACUGGAACUGAGACACGGUCCAGACUCCGUACGGGAGGCAGCA
rnacentral:rRNA from 1 species